UACGAAGGGGGCUAGCGUUGCUCGGAAUUACUGGGCGUAAAGGGCGCGUAGGCGGCACUGUUAGUCAGGCGUGAAAGUCCUGGGCUCAACCUGGGAACUGCGCUUGAUACGGCAGAGCUAGAGGAUGGAAGAGGGUCGCGGAAUUCCCAGUGUAGAGGUGAAAUUCGUAGAUAUUGGGAAGAACACCGGUGGCGAGGGCGGCGACCUGGUCCAUUACUGACGCUGAGGCGCGACAGCGUGGGGAGCAAACAGG
rnacentral:rRNA from 1 species